AUGGUCAAGCUACAAAGAGCACAAGGGGGAUGCCUUGGCACCAGAAGCCGAUGAAGGACGCAACGAGCUGCGAUAAGCCACGGGGAGCUGCAAGUAAGCAUUAUUAUCCGUGGAUUUCCGAAUGGAGCAAUCCGGCAGGAGUAAUAUCCUGUCAUCAUACAGUGAAUUCAUAGCUGUAUGAGGGGAACCGCCUGAACUGAAACAUCUAAGUAGGGCGAGGAAAAGAAAUCAACCGAGAUUCCCAAAGUAGUGGCGAGCGAAAUGGGAAGAGGCCAAACCAUCCGUAGAAAUACGGGUGGGGUUAGGACAGUCAUCAGGUACUGUAGAGUCUAGUCGAAGUGCAUGGGAAGGCACACAAGAUAGAGUGAGAGUCUCGUAGACGAAAGACAAAGCAGGCCGACUGUAUCCAGAGUACCGCCGGACACGUGAAACCCGGUGGGAAUACGGGGGGACCACCCUCCAAGCCUAAAUACUAACUGGUGACCGAUAGCGUAUAGUACUGUGAAGGAAAGGUGAAAAGCACCCCGGGAGGGGAGUGAAAUAGAACCUGAAACCUUGUGCUUACAAGCACCGAGAGCCCGUCAACGGGUGAUCGGGUACCUUUUGUAGAAUGGUCCGGCGAGUGAAUGUAACUAGCAAGGUUAAGGACUUAAGGUCCGCAGCCGUAGGGAAACCGAGUCUGAACAGGGCGUAAGAAGUUAGUUGUAUUCGACCCGAAACCGGGUGACCUACCCAUGUCCAGGUUGAAGUGGAGGUAAAACUCCAUGGAGGACCGAACACACGUCUGUUGAAAUAGCCGGUGAUGAGGUGUGGGUAGCGGAGAAAUUCCAAUCGAACCCGGAGAUAGCUGGUUCUCUCCGAAAUAGCUUUAGGGCUAGCGUUGAUGAUGAUUACUGGGGGUAAAGCACUGAAUAGGCUAGGGGCCGAGAGGUUACUGAACCUUAUCAAACUCUGAAUACCAGAUAAUUGAACAUCAGCAGUCAGACUACGUGAGAUAAGUCUCGUGGUCAAAAGGGAAACAGCCCAGAUCUACGUCUAAGGUCCCUAAAUACAGUUAAGUGGAGAAGGAUGUGGAGUUGCACAGACAACCAGGAUGUUGGCUUAGAAGCAGCCACUCAUUAAAAGAGUGCGUAAUAGCUCACUGGUCGAGUGACUCUGCGCCGAAAAUUCAACGGGGCUAAACUGUAUACCGAAGACUAGGAAUUGGUUUUUAACCAAUUGGUAGGAGAGCGUUGUGUAUUGGGUGAAGUCGUAGCGUAAGCGGCGGUGGACGAUACACAAGUGAGAAUGCCGGAAUGAGUAGCGAGAAUUAUGUGAGAAUCAUAAUGGCCGAAAGCCUAAGGUUUUUGAAGGAAGGUUCGUCCGCUUCAAGUUAGCCGGGAGCUAAGGUGAGGCCGAAAGGCGUAGCCGAUGCACAUACGGUAGAUAUUCCGUAGCCUCCGAAAGAUUUAAACAAAGGGACACUUUGAAAGGGUAUAUCCCGGGCGUUGGUAGCCCCGGGCGUAAGGGAGCGAAAUUAUAGUAGCGAAGUAUACUUGGACGAAGGCGAGAAAAGCUUUGUGUAUAUCUAAGGAGCCCGUACCGCAAACCGACACAGGUAGGUAGGAAGAGAAUUCUAAGGCCAACGGGAGAAGAGUUGUUAAGGAACUCGGCAAAUUGACCCCGUAACUUCGGGAAAAGGGGUGCCUGGCGCAAGCCAGGCCGCAGUGAAUAGGCCCAGGCAACUGUUUAUCAAAAACACAGGUCUCUGCUAAAUCGAAAGAUGACGUAUAGGGGCUGACGCCUGCCCGGUGCUGGAAGGUUAAGAGGAGGAGUGCAAGCUCUGAAUUGAAGCCCCAGUAAACGGCGGCCGUAACUAUAACGGUCCUAAGGUAGCGAAAUUCCUUGUCGGGUAAGUUCCGACCCGCACGAAUGGCGUAAUGAUCUGGGCACUGUCUCAACAGCUCACCCGGCGAAAUUGUAGUACCGGUGAAGAUGCCGGUUACCCGCGACAAGACGGAAAGACCCCAUGGAGCUUUACUGUAACCUGAUAUUGGGUUUUGGUACUUUAUGUACAGGAUAGGUGGGAGACUUUGAAGCACAAACGCCAGUUUGUGUGGAGUCACCCUUGGGAUACCACCCUUAGAGUACUGAAAUUCUAACCUGCGGCCAUGAAUCUGGUCGGGGGACAUUGUCAGGCGGGCAGUUUGACUGGGGCGGUCGCCUCCAAAAAGGUAACGGAGGCGCUCAAAGGUUAGCUCAGCAUGGACGGAAACCAUGCCUUAGAGUGUAAACGCAUAAGCUAGCCUAACUGCGAGACCGACGGGUCGAGCAGUAACGAAAGUUGGAGUUAGUGAUCCGGCGGUAUGUGAGUGGAAAUGCCGUCGCUCAACGGAUAAAAGCUACCCUGGGGAUAACAGGCUGAUCUCCCCCAAGAGUCCACAUCGACGGGGAGGUUUGGCACCUCGAUGUCGGCUCAUCACAUCCUGGGGCUGUAUUCGGUCCCAAGGGUUCGGCUGUUCGCCGAUUAAAGUGGUACGCGAGCUGGGUUCAGAACGUCGUGAGACAGUUCGGUCCCUAUCUGUCGUGGGCGAAGGAUAUUUGAAAGGAUCUGUCCCUAGUACGAGAGGACCGGGAUGGACGUACCUCUGGUGCACCAGUUGUCAUGCCAAUGGCAUAGCUGGGCAGCUACGUACGGACCCGAUAAACGCUGAAAGCAUCUAAGCGUGAAACGGACCUUAAGAUUAGAUAUCCCAUAGCAUAAGCUAGUAAGACCCCCAGUAGACCACUGGGUUGAUAGGCUGCGUGUGUAAACAGAGUAAUCUGUGUAGCUUGGCAGUACUAAUAGGUCGAGGGCUUGACCUU
rnacentral:rRNA from 1 species